ensembl:snRNA U5 U5 spliceosomal RNA
AUACUCUGGUUUCUCUUCAGAUCGCAUAUAUCUUUUGCCUUUUACUAAAGAUUUCCAUGGAGAGGAACAAUUCUGAAUCUUUACCCAAUUUUUUGAGGCCCUGCUCUUGCUGGGGCU